rfam:Candidatus Thiomargarita nelsonii contig_1182, whole genome shotgun sequence.
AUAGUUCCUAAAUCUAUAGAUGUUUAUUUAUAGACAUGGAGCUAACAGCGGGCUACGCAAGAAGUUAGAUAGGUCAUCACACCCGCUGAUGUGAUUCCAGUCGGUCGCUCUGUGGUCCGGCAUUAAGGGUAGCGGAAACGUGAAUGUGUGCCGGAUGUAAAAAACCUUUUUAACAACCGCGAGGAGUACUUUAC